UCUCACGUGGUCUAGUGGCUAGUAUAUCUAGCUUUAACCUAGAAGGCCCGGUUUCAAUUCCUGGCGUGGGAU